GGCCCAGAUCGUUUACCGUGAAAAAAUUAGAGUGUUCAAAGCAGGCAGAUUCAAUUUUCUGCCACCGAAUACAUUAGCAUGGGAUAAUGGAAUAGGACCCUGUCCUCCUCUUUUCAGUUGGUUAAUUUACGUGCGAGGAUCAGGGUAAUGAUUAAUAGGGAUAGUUGGGGGCAUUAAUAUUUAAUUGUCAGAGGUGAAAUUCUUGGAUUUAUGAAAGAUUAACUUCUGCGAAAGCAUCUGCCAAGGAUGUUUUCAUUAAUCAAGAACGAAAGUUAGGGGAUCGAAGACGAUCAGAUACCGUCGUAGUCUUAACCAUAAACGAUGCCGACCAGCGAUUAGGAGACGUUGAAUACAAAACACCGCCAAAGAUAAUUCAUUAUAUGGCUUUACGGCUGUAUGGUGUUUGUCUUUGGUUAUGGUGAAUGACUCCCCUAGCAGCUUGUGAGA
rnacentral:rRNA from 1 species